CCUCGAUUCUGACUAGUCUCCCAGUCCCUGCCGCUGAAAAACACCCCCACAGCAUGAUGCUGCCACCACCACCAUGCUUCACCGUAGGGAUGGUGCCAGGUUUCCUCCAGACGUGACGCUUGGCAUUCAGGCCAAAGAGUUCAAUCUUGGUUUCAUCAAACCAGAGAAUCAUGUUUCUCAUGGUCAGAGUCCUUCAGGUGCCUUUUGGCAAACUCCAAGCGGGCUGUCAUGUGCCUUUUAUUGAGGAGUUGCUUCCUUCUGGCCACUAUCAUAAAGACAUGAUUGAUUGAGCCUAGGCCUUGGUCGAAAGGUGGGUACAGUGACUUGAAGAACAUCGAUCGUUCAGCUAAACGGCAAAAAACAAGCAGGGGGCAUAUAAAUGCCCACAGCAGAUUCAAGCUUCUGGGAAAAAGCUGCAGCGAUAGACAACACAACGAGAGGGAAAGUUCUGCCAACAAGGGCAACUACAAGGAGUUUGCAGAGCUAAGUCCACUCCUGUUUCCCGAUUAAGAGGUCAUGACCACUACCAUUCUCAACUAUCUCCUGACAUGAACUGAAGCCACGUCUCAUGUGCCCACUCUUCCACCGGCACAUUGAAUGUUUCCUCUCCAAGCAUUUCAAAUCCUGUCCUGCACUGGUCAAGCCUCUGAACACCUCAACUCAUGCCUCAUACCCCAUUCAAUCACUGCUGUGAUCCCUUUCCAACAUGGUGCCUCACAACCGCAGACCACGUGUAACCAUGCCAGCCCAGGACCUCCACAUCUGGCUUCUUUACCUGCGGGAUCAUCUGAGACCAGCCACCCGGACAGCUGAUGAAACUGAGGAGUAUUUCUGUCUGUAAUAAAGCCCUUUUGUGGGGAAAAACUCAUUCUGAGUGGCUGGGCUGCUCCCCAGUGGGCGGGCCUAUGCCCUCCCAGGCCCACCCAUGUGAAAUCCAUAGAUUAUUUAAAUUGACUGAUUUCCUUAUAUGAUCUGUAACUCAGUAAAAUCUUUUAAAUUAAA